rnacentral:rRNA from 1 species
CCUACGGGAGGCAGCAGUAGGGAAUAUUGCUCAAUGGGGGAAACCCUGAAGCAGCAACGCCGCGUGGAGGAUGAAGGUUUUCGGAUUGGAAACUCCUUUUUUUAGAGAAGUUAAUGACGGUAUCUAACGAAUAAUCACCGGCUAACUCCGUUCCAGCAGCCGCGGUAAUACGGAGGGUGCAACCGUUACUCGGAAUCACUGGGCGUAAAGAGAGCGUAGGCGGGAUAGCAAGUCAGAUGUGAAAUCCUUUGGCUUAACCAUAGAAUUUCAUUUGAAACUGUUAUUCUAGAGUAUAGGAGAGGUAGGUGGAAUUCUUGGUGUAGCGGUAAAAUGCGUAGAGAUCAAGAGGAAUACUCAUUGCGAAGGCGACCUGCUAGAACAUCACUGACGCUGAUGCGCGAAAGCGUGGGGAGCAAACAGGAUUAGAUACCCUGGUAGUC